rnacentral:tRNA from 1 species
UUGGGAAGUCGUCUAGUGGUAGGACGCCUGGCUCUGACCCAGGCAACCGGGGUUCGAGGCCCUGCUUCCCAGCCAA